ACUUAGUCCUCAUCUACCAAUAGUUAAACGAAAUACAGGUGUUCGCAAUGAACUCAAAAUUUUGCAGCAUUACAUUUUUAUGGCAAUGGA